rnacentral:lncRNA from 1 species
AAGCAAGUUCAGGGAAAAUGGACUUCUACUGACAGAGGCCCCUUGUGACAACAGGUAUUAACCAAAAAGCUGAUGAACUCAGGGCCUUUCUUUGCCUCUAUCUUCAGAGCCAAAGCCAAAGCUCCUCAAUUCCUGCCUGUACAGACAUAACUGGGAGGGAAUUGGGCAGCCAGCAAUGCAAGAGCAAGAGGUUAGAGAAGCUCUGUGUCGUCAGAUCCAUUGAGCUGGAUGGGAAUCACCCCAAGAUUACUGGGAGACCUGGUGGGCCUGACUGUGAAGCCACCAUCAGUCCUCAUCCUUAAAAAAAGGCAAGAAGGAAGACAGGAGUCACAGAAUCACAGGAUGGUCUGGGUUGGAAGGGGUUGAGGGUUGCCCUCAGCCACACCUCAGUCAAUGGAAAGAUCAGGGAGCACAUAAUCAGCAGAGUCAGCCCAGGAAGGCAAACCAUGUUUGCUGAGUGCCUGCGGUGAUGAAAUGUCUGGCCCCGUGGGCAAGGGCAGAGUGGUGCCUGCAACAUGCCUUGGUUUGAAAAUGGCUUUGACAACACCUUCCCCACCCUUCCCCUCUGGAACCAGCAGAAGUGUGGACUGGAUGAACCGCCUGUUUGGAUGAACUGGAAGCUGCAAGGAUAGCAAUCACUAACUCAAUAUCUGAUUGGUAAUCAGCAAAGCAGCCUGGGAUCAAUACUGGCACCCGUAUCCAAGAGCUUCUGAGCAGGAGUGGUAGUAAAAGAUUGUCACCCAGCCUGUUUGGAGAAGGAAGGCUCAAUAUAUGGGAAACACCUUGGUGAGUUGCCUAACUGGGACAACACCUCUCACCAGCCUACUUUGUGGAGUUGGAAAUGCAGCAAGAGACUUCUGCUAAGGAAUGGCUUUCAUGUCACACUUCUGCUCCACAUCCCCUUGCCCUGGCAUCCUUUUGCCUUUCCAACUGAGAUGACUUAUGCCUCUACCACAUUAAAACAGGAAUAUAAACUCAGCUGCUCCUUCCAACAUGUCUGAAACAAUAGCAAUUAGCCUCUCUCUGGCCUUCUGUUAUCAAAUCAGUAUCCAACUUCUUGAUUUUGUAGAAAAUUAUUCGGUAUAAAUAGACAUAUUCUG